AUACGUAGGUGGCAAGCGUUGUCCGGAAUUAUUGGGCGUAAAGCGCAUGUAGGCGGUUUGGUAAGUCGGUCGUGAAAAUGCGGUGCUUAACGCCGUAUGGCGAUUGAAACUGCUGAACUUGAGUGCAGGAGAGGAAAGGGGAACUCCCAGUGUAGCGGUGAAAUGCGUAGAUAUUGGGAAGAACACCGGUGGCGAAGGCGCCUUUCUGGACUGUGUCUGACGCUCAGAUGCGAAAGCCAGGGUAGCGAACGGGAUUAGAUCCCCCGGUAGUCCUGGCCGUAAACGAUGGGUACUAGGUGUGGGAGGUAUCGACUCCUUCCGUGCCGGAGUUAACGCAAUAAGUACCCCGCCUGGGGAGUACGGCCGCAAGGCUUAAACUCAAAUGAAUUGACGGGG
rnacentral:rRNA from 1 species